UUAAAAACAUGGAUGAAGAAUGAAGAAAUGAAUUCAAUUAAGAGAGCUAGUGGUCGGUGUGAACUAGUUUGAAUCAUUUUGGAUAGCCCUUCUGAGUUAAUAUGCUGAAAUGUACUGACUAAGUCCCAUGCGUAGGCAUAUUCGGUUAAUCCGUUACCUUAUGGCUAAAAUAGCCUCUGAGAUGAUUAUAAAUCAAAGACAUCAGGAACAUACCUUUUUGUUGUAGAUUUAUCUUCAAAUGAGGGUGGAACCGCGGCUUUAUAACUCCCGCCCCUCAC
rnacentral:ncRNA from 1 species